AGGAGGGAAGGUGGGGAUGACGUCAAGUCAUCAUGGCCCUUAAGGCCUGGGCUACACACGUGCUACAAUGGUCGGUACAGAGGGUCGCCAAGCCGCGAGGUGGAGCUAAUCUCACAAAACCGAUCGUAGUCCGGAUCGCAGUCUGCAACUCGACUGCGUGAACUCGGAAUCGCUAGUAAUCGCGAAUCAGAAUGUCGCGGUGAAUACGUUCCCGGGCCUUGUACACACCGCCCAUCACACCAUGUGAGUGGGUUGCACCAGAAGUAG
rnacentral:rRNA from 1 species